AUGCUGUGAUGACUAAAACUAUACCAUCAAACUUUGAGAGCUUUUAAGCUCGUUGAUGUAAACAUUAUUUCUGAGCUU